rnacentral:rRNA from 1 species
ACGGGGCGCAGCAGGCGCGAAAACUUCGCAAUGCUGGAAACAGCGACGGGGUAACUCCAAGUGCCGGCACUAAGUGUCGGCUGUUCCAUUGUCUAAAAAACAUAGGAAGUAAGGGCUGGGUAAGACGGGUGCCAGCCGCCGCGGUAAUACCUGCAGCCCGAGUGGUGGCCGUUAUUAUUGGGCCUAAAACGUCCGUAGCCGGUUGGGUAGAUGCCUGUGUAAAUCGAACGGCUUAACCGUUCGAAUUGCGGGUAGACCGCCCGACUAGGGACCGGGAGAGUCACGAAGUACUCCGGGGGUAGAGGUGAAAUUCUGUAAUCCUCGGGGGACUACCGGUGGCGAAGGCGUCAUGAUAGAACGGCUCCGACGGUGAGGGACGAAGCCCUGGGGCGCAAACCGGAUUAGAUACCCGGGUAGUCCAGGGUGUAAACGCUGCGGUCUUGGUGUCGGCAGCCCUACGAGGGCAGCCGGUGCCGGAGAGAAGUUGUUAAGACCGCUGCCUGGGGAGUACGGCCGCAAGGUUGAAACUCAAAGGAAUUGACGGA